AUUUCUGAGUGCUUAGCCAGGAGUAACCCCUGAGCAUCUAACGGGUGUGGCCCCCCAAAAAAAAAAGAAAGAAAGAAAGUAAUAAAGAAAGAAAGAAAGAAAGAAAGAAAGAAAGAAAGAAAGAAAGAAAGAAAGAAAGAAAUAAAGAAAGAAAGAAAUAAAAUAAAGGAAGAAAAGAAAGGAAGAA